rnacentral:ncRNA from 1 species
AGCUCGCUUGAUCUUGAUUUUCAGUACGAAUACGGACCGUGGGAGCGGGGCUCACGAUCCUUCUGACCUUUUGGGUUUUAAGCAGGAGGUGUCAGAAAAGUGACCACAGGGAUAACUGGCUGGUGGCGGCCAGACGUUCAUAGCGAGGUCGCUUUCUGAUCCUUCACUGUGGGCUCUUCCCAUCAUUCCCAUCAUUGUGAAGCAGAAUUUCUCACGCAUGGGAUUGCUCACCCACUAAGAGGGAACGUGAGAUGGGUUAGAUUCAACCU